ensembl:antisense 4921534H16Rik RIKEN cDNA 4921534H16 gene
UCAUUCCACAAUGCAAACAGCAGCCAGAGCUUCUCAGAGAGGAGACUAGCAGUUACCUUUUAAGUCUUCCAGCUCAUUUUCACAAUGAUUUGUGAUUGUUCAAGUCCCUCCACUUGUGAGAAGGGGAACAGAGAGACUGGAACCCAGAGGAUCUGAUCCCAAAGCUAUCCUUUAUCUCACUCUCUUGGAUGGUCUCUGCCUUCAGGUUGUUCAGGGGCACCAAUAAGGGUGGAAGGGGCAAUCUACAGUGCCACAGUCUGUUGAUACUGUGCUGUAGACAUCUCCAGCCCAAGCUUGCUGCAGUGCCGCAUCCAUGCAAAGGCUUACCCUGACUGUGGGUUGGUACCAUGCUCCAGCCCUGCCUGCUCUCAUCUCUGACUCUCUUGAGUGAAGACUUUGAACAUCUUCACGGAUACCUGCAUUAAUGAUGACCACUCCCUACACAUUCCACUGUCCUGUUGCACUGGCUGGUGCUGGUGAGACAGACCCCCUGGAACAACAGUUAGCUAAACAUCAGUGCCACCCUGACCCUGUGGUAUCGUAUGUUUCCCAGCACCGUAGCAGGAUUAGUUUGACUUAUGUUAGAAUAUAAAUAUGUAUUACAUUUCUUAAAAUGACCUAUUUGAUAAACAGAAUUGCUGAGCAUUUUUGAGGGUAUGCCUAGGGGUGCUAUAAAAACUAUAUCGAGACAAACAGGGUACUGUGAAUCAAGAAAAUGGAGCGAGCUCUGCCCUCAGGUGAGGCAAGCAUUAACAAAUGUGGCUUACGAACCUCCUCCAGUGAUGUCAUCUACUGUGUCUGUCCACUUGUUCACUCUAACAUAUGCUAAGCUCCUACUGUGUGCCAAGUACUGUGUUCAGGGAGCUCAAAGGCAAGGUUCUACCAAAGUACUUGGACAAGUACCUGAACAAAAAGUUCCCUCAAAAUUUUAAUGAGCCACACUGCCUGAGAAGAACAGAAACAUGGCCAUGGUCCCUCGGCAUGGCUACAGCACCAAGUGGAAAACUGCCAAUGGACAAACGUCUUUACAUUCAGCAUUAACACGAUGAAUAACUCCAGACAAGAGUCUCACAGAGCACUACAGAAAGACUAGCGCAGAGACAAUUCUUUCCCCGAGUAGCCCCAAGUGCUGGGAUACAGGGCCUGCAAGACACAUCCUAUGUGAGAGAUCCUCACUCGCCCCUACCAAUGGCUACUCGCCCUCCUCAUAUCACUGAGGCCAUGAGGAAUAGCGGAGAGAAGGCGGCGGUGUGAGUGGGAGAGAGAGACCAGAUCUUUUCAUUAUGGAGUACUAUAAUUAGGAAGUAGAAUCCAACCAGAACGAUCAAACCAACGACCAAAAAAGAAAAGCCUACAUCUGCUCUUCUGAGGGAAACUGAGAAGGGGUCUGGGAGUAUCUGAGGUAGAGCUUGGGCUGCAGAUCUGCUGCGUGGAACACAAAUUGAAGAAGCCCCCGUGAGCCUCUCUCUGACUCCCAGCAGAUACGCGUCUGUCAAGGAGGCAGUCACCAGCCCCCUUCCUAAUUCUUCUCUUAGGAAAGAGAAACUGCGAACGGUUAGAUUAAAUUAUUGCUAUGCAUCAACAGUGAUACUAAUACAUCCAUGCUUCACCAUAAGAGGGGAUCGCUGGUAACAAAAGACUCCAGUCAGUGUUACACGCAGCUACCAUUCAACACACCUAUUCCAUUCCGAAGAAUCUACCUGAGGAAGUAAACCACAUGUCUACUAAAGCCUGGUACAUUGGUAUUUACAGCAAUUUUAACUUGGGAUAAUAACAAAACAACAACAGUAACAACAGCAACAAAACCUAGCAGCAACCCAAGUGUCCAUCAACCAAUAUCAUACAUCUAUACAUUAGAACACUAUUCAUCACUUAAAAUGAACCGUGUGUCUAGGCAUUAAUGGAUGAAUCUCAAAAUUAUUAUUCCAAGGAAAAGAAGUCAGACAAAAAGAAGCAUAUGCUCUAUAUUUUGAUGUGCACAUGCGUGUGUGCAUGCAUUUUUUUCCUCCCUAGGGAGUACCAACUAAUUCAUAAUGAGAGAUAGAAGAUCAAUGUUUGUCUGUGUGGUGGGGAGCAACAUGAAGGAAGAGAGCAAAGAAGGAUCACAAAAAAGAUGUGGGAAUUUGGAAGGUGAUGAAUUCACUCAUUGCCUUUGUCAUGAUUAUGGCUUUCGGGAUCUGUAUGAUGUCAAAAGUAAGAACUCUGUACACUUUAAAUAAACGCUGUUUGCUGUGUUCUCGCUGCACCUGUUAGGAAAAUGGUAGUAGAAAAUGUUCUGGAAGGCUGUAUGCCAGAAUAUAAAUUGAUGGAUUCCUCUUGGAAAGCAGUUUGACUUUUCUUUGAUACUACUUUUAAAUCUGUAUCCUAGAGACAUAAAAUGAGAUACAACAGUUUCACUCCUGGAUCAUUUACAAUGGUGGGGGGAAAAAAGCGAGGAAACAUUAAUGUAUUUAAUGGGAAAAAAAAACUGUCCCAAUAAAUCAUGGUUCUCACAUAUUGAAAUAUUAUGCAUCCGUUAAAGGCCAUGCUUAUGAGAAGCUUUUAAUAACCUGGGAGAAUACUUAUGUGAUGGUGCCAAGUAGAAAGCACCAAGAUAUAAAUUGUAUAUGUGGUGUGAAUUGAAUUAUGUAAAAUUAUGCACAGAAAAAAAAUCUCUGAAAUAUCUUUGGGAUUAUUUCUGAGUGAUAUAGGGUAUGGGUGAUUUUUUUAAAUCUCUUAAUGCAAAUUUUAAAAUGUCCCUAUUUAAAAUGUAUUUCCUUAAUUUUCUACAAUAAGAUUGUAUUUUUAAAUUGUGAAAUAAAUAAGCUAUCUUCAAGG